rnacentral:sRNA from 1 species
GUUUCUUCUUUUGUUUUAUCCGUUUUGUU